UCUGUGACUCCACAAAAGUGAACAAGCUUGACUUAACAGUAAGCCGCAAGUGCCAUCACGCUGACGAGGGACGGUGGCGCUGGGACCGCCUGCUAACCUGACAGCAGUUCUGACCCUUGUCCCAAGAGGUAGGCAGCCCCCACCCCGAAACUGGCCACUGUUCCGUCGCAAGCCAGUUCUCCGAUCUCUAGCAGGGCCGCACUCUCGGCUCCGGGUAGAACCGAUCUAGGUCAUCCCGGCCUGUCAGGCAUAGGACAGGGUACUAAGCCCCCAAACCGGCCCGUUUAAUGGCUGGAGUCAGCCAUCUCGGCGCCCCGAGUUAGUGCCCUCCCGCGCCAGAACUCAGCGCAGCUCGCCUGCGGCUUCUUUCCUUUCCCCAGGUCCUCCCGUGAAGGUCCGAGCGGCGGUCCCGGCUACGCGCUGCCUUCUCACCCUGGAAGGUUCCAGACGGCGCACCUCACUCCCAGGGCCAGCCCGGACCAGCGAAGCGGAGCGCGCAGCGCGGGGGCAGCCAUCUUGGCCGCUGUCAGGACCUCGGAGGGCUGCCCACAGCGCGCCUGCGUGAGUGAGCGACAGGACACGGAUGAGAGCCUGCGCACUUUCCUCGGGCGUGGGUUUCCCUUCAGAGGUUCCCUCUGAGGAAGAAGCGAAGACACAUCCUCGCCCUCGCGGCCUCCGACGCGGUCCGGCGCGCCCGUGGACCGCAGCCCUCGGCGCGCUCAGGCCCCCAUGCGGGCCCCGCCCCCGCCCUGCUCGCGCAGAACCUCGCGAGGCUUGAGGGCGCAGGGCCGGACCGGGCGGCUGCAAUAUGGCGGAGGCGGAAGGGGAGAGCCUGGAGUCCUGGCUGAAUAAAGCUACCAAUCCUUCCAACCGCCAGGAAGACUGGGAAUAUAUCAUUGGUUUCUGUGAUCAGAUCAACAAAGAGCUUGAAGGGCCCCAGAUUGCUGUGCGACUCCUGGCCCACAAGAUCCAGUCUCCACAGGAAUGGGAGGCAGUGCAGGCCCUCACGGUGCUGGAGGCGUGUAUGAAGAACUGUGGCAGGAGACUUCAUAAUGAAGUGGGGAAGUUCCGGUUUUUGAAUGAAUUAAUCAAAGUCGUCUCUCCAAAGUACUUGGGAGACAGGGUGUCUGAAAAGGUGAAGACUAAGGUCAUCGAGUUGCUUUUUAGCUGGACACUGGCCUUGCCGGAAGAAGCAAAGAUCAAAGAUGCCUACCAUAUGUUGAAGAGACAAGGCAUAGUGCAGUCGGACCCCCCCAUCCCCAUGGAUAGAACGCUGAUCCCCUCUCCCCCACCUCGGCCCAAAAACCCCGUUUUUGAUGAUGAGGAGAAAUCCAAGCUUUUAGCCAGGCUGCUGAAGAGCAAGAACCCAGAUGACCUGCAAGAGGCCAACAGACUCAUCAAGUCCAUGGUGAAGGAAGAUGAGGCUCGCAUCCAGAAAGUGACCAAGCGUCUACACACACUGGAGGAGGUUAACAACAAUGUCAAGCUGCUCCACGAGAUGCUGCUUCACUACAGCCAAGAGUACUCGUCAGACGCCGACAAGGAGCUCAUGAAGGAGCUCUUUGAUCGUUGUGAGAAUAAGAGGCGGACGCUGUUUAAACUAGCCAGCGAGACAGAGGACAAUGACAACAGUUUGGGGGACAUCCUGCAGGCCAGUGACAACCUGUCCAGGGUCAUCAACUCUUACAAAACUAUUAUUGAAGGGCAGAUCGUCAAUGGUGAGGUGACCACCUCAACCAUGCCUGACUCUGAAGGAAACAGUCACUGUGGUAACCAAGGCGCCCUCAUUGACCUUGCUGAGUUGGACGCCCCCAGCAACUCGUCUCCGGCAUUGGCCCCACCCACCUCAGGCAUCCCCAUCCUCCCUCCACCCCCCCAAACCUCCGGGCCUCCACGAAGCCGUUCAUCCAGCCAGGCUGAGGCUCCCCCAGGGUCUGACAGCACGAACAAUGCCCUCUCCUUGCUGGAUGAGGAGCUCCUCUGCUUAGGCCUUACUGACCCCGCCCCCACUGCUCCCAAAGAGUCACCUGGAAGUAGUCAGUGGCACCUGUUCCAGAAUGAACCACCAUCAGAUCUGGACUUCUUCAGUCCCAGGCCAGUGCCUGCGGCCUCCUGCCCCUCAGAUGGACCCCAGCUCCCUCCCCCAGUUUCUACCUCAAGUAUGUCCCAAGCUCCACUGCCUGCUGCCUUCCCAGCUCCUGUGGUCCCAGCCAGUGCACCAACCCACAGCACUGGCUCCUUCAUGUUCUCUUCUGGACCUGCCCCAGCCUUGGCUCCAAAGGCUGAGCCCAAAGGUCCAGAAUACCCCAGCUCCAGCACCUCGCACCGCCUAGAUGCCCUUGAUCAGCUUCUGGAAGAGGCCAAAGUAACCUCAGGCUUGGUGAAACCUGUUUCUUGCUUCUCUCCUGGGCCCACUGCCUCCCCGCUGCUGCCUGCCUCUGCCCCAGCCAGACCUCUCCUGCCCUUCUCCACUGGGCCCGGAAGCCCUCUCUUCCAGUCCCAAGGCAGCCCUCAGAAAGGCCCAGAGCUCUCCUUGGCCAGUGUCCAUGUGCCCCUGGAAUCGAUCAAGCCUAGAGUGUCCGCCAGGACGGCCUGAUGUGCUGGUGGUGGUGGUUUCCAUGCUGAAUACGGCUCCGUUGCCAGUCAAGAGCAUAGUGCUGCAGGCUGCAGUGCCCAAGUCAAUGAAAGUGAAGUUGCAGCCACCCUCUGGGACAGAACUUUCCCCAUUUAGUCCUAUCCAGCCACCUGCAGCCAUCACCCAGGUCAUGCUGCUGGCCAAUCCAAUGAAGCCCUCUUAUUACAGGAAAAGGUGCGGCUUCGAUAUAAACUGACCUUUGCUUUGGGGGAGCAGCUGAGCACAGAACUGGGUGAAGUGGACCAGUUUCCUCCUGUGGAGCAGUGGGGGAACCUAUGACCCCAGCAUAUGUUGCCAUCUCUACUUGGAAGGCAAGCAGCCCUGAGACAGGCUCUAGCUAGUCCAGCCACUGUACACCCUGAACAGCGUUUAUAGCUUGGUGUGGAUCGGAGCCCUGGACACUUCUGUCAGGAACCAAGCUGCUGCUUUGGUCACCUCUUCCUGGGCCCCUAAAAGGACCUGUCUUAUCUACCUGUGUGACUUGAAGUAGCCGUACUGUGUGGGUGAUGAGUCCCCUGUGGCUUCAUUGGCCACUCUGGGAUGGUGGACUCUGGGCCCAGAGUAGGAUUUCCUUUUUUUACUGGCAUUCCUUGAUAUCAGGGAGAGGGCUCUGAACGGUGCCUCUCCAGCCCCUGUAAGAACUGCAUCUUUACACUCGAAGAGGCAUGGCUUAGGAGACUGUACCUCCCCUUGGCGGUCCCUGGUUCUUUGCUGAUAGGCACUGCUGCUCCCUGAACUAAAGUGGGCAGCAGUGGCCCAGAGUGAGAACUGUGGAGUACUGUAGUCUUCACUUUCUGCAAGCAGCAGCAUCCUGCAGUGGCUACUGAGUGAGUGAUGUGCUUACAGUGGCAGGUUGUGUCCUAUGGACAUCCUAGCAGGACGGGGAGCUUGGCCGGAUAGCCUCACUAGGGACAGGAAGGAAAACGGAAGUGCCAAUGUUUCCCUUCAGAGGCAGGUACUGUGGCUUUCUGGGAAAGGCGUACCUCCUGCAGUGGGAAUAGGCCGUCCUACUCACUACCUCUUGCUUGGCAUGAAAUAAACUGCUGUGCUCCCCAUAAGCCUUUCAGGGGAGGACACCUCCUGCCACUCUGCAUCCUGCUUUGGUCACUCCUUCUCCCUGCCACACAGUAUGUGGUGUGGCACCUAUGGCUGGACCCAGGAAGUCUCAGGGUCACACACAUUGCACUAGACUUUUAUGCUGCACCCAACACCCUCUUUUCCCCAGCUAAAGAGGGGCACUGUCAGCGACAUGUUGGGUCUGGAGAUGAGAGGUCUGUGAUUAAACUGAGUUUCCAGACCCUAUUGCUUCUACAGUGCUGUGCCUCAGCCAGCAUAACCCAGUUGCUCCAGGCCAGAGACGUUUAGGCUGAUCGGGAACUCGGCUGCCAUACUAGUCUACUGGGCCCUGCUGUCCGUAUGCUGUCGCCACUACAUCUUUGGAGCUCUGUCUAGAGGUCAUCUGGCCUACCUCCCAGCUAUUGUCCUUAGCUAGCAGGUUUUACAGUUUCCUUAGGACAGGUUUAAAAGAGAUAAUCAUUUUCACUGAUGAUGGAAUAAAUCCAAGAGCUUUCCAGAGACUGGUUACUUCGGUGCUGGAACAUCUAUGGGAUCACUGUCAAUACGGUCAUUAAAGAUUUAAAUUAUGAGUGUUGCUCACUACUACUGAGGUCACUGCUUCAGUCAGUACAGCUGUACUGGUUGUACCACCUCCUGCCCUUGUUUUGCUGCAUGUGAAAUAAAACCAUUUCACCCUG